AUAGAUUAUAUUACAAAAAACAAAUGCAAGAUUUUAUAUUAAUGAUAAAUCAAUUACCGCAAGUGAGUGAUACGUACAAAGUAUAUGUAGUAAAAAAUAGUAAAAAAAAUAAAAUGAAUAAAGUGCAUACAAUGGAGAUAAAACAUGCAGAUACAACUGACAAAACGGAAGUUAUAAACGAAUCAGGCACAUUUGUAAAUACAGACCAACUGGAUAAGAAUAAAGAUACUACGAAUAAUAAUGAACAUAAUGAUGCUCCAAAAAAUGAAGAUCUAACAAAUGAUAUUCCUUUUGCAGAAACAGAAGAAGAACAAGUUCUUAAGCCAAAAAUAAAAUUAAUAGAACCUUUGGAAAAUGGUAUAACAUACAAAGAAAUGUUGCAAAAAAAAAGAACCAUGUUAAAAUCGGAAAAAACCAUGUUAAAAUCAGAAAAAACCAUGAAUUACGACUUAAAAGAACUAAACAAGCUUCAUAGUAAAUACAGUCAACAGGAUAAGAUUAAUACACAAUACAUGUCACAAUAUAUAACAACAGAAAAUACAAUAUAUGAUAAUUACCUAAACGAAACUGUUAAAUAUAUAUAUAGUAAAAAAAUGUUUGGACCAUGGCAUUUUUUCUAUAACCCCAAUGAAAAUAUAGCAAACCAUUUGAUGAAAUUUUUAAUGGACACAUUACCUUGUUAUGUUUUGAUCAUGGUUUUAUCAUUACCAUAUGUUGUGAUGGAACUGAUUCAACUUUUAUAUUGUAAACCGAUAAAAUAUAAAAAUCAGAAACCGCAAUUAUAUUUAACUUAUUUACCUACUCAACAAUGUACUAUAGUAUCUGGCUACUUUGUAACUGGUGUGUUAAUCGCUUGUCUCCUCAUUUGUAUGUAUAUAAGUAUUCUAAUGUAUUUAAUACAAUUAUAUUAUAGAAAAAAGCAAACACAUUGUUUUACUAUGUUCUUCAAAAAUAUAAUUACAGGUUAUAGAAAAGGAAGAGAAUUAUAUGAGUUUAUAUUUUUAUUAAAAAAUAUCAUUUUAGCAGUUAUCAUAGGACUUAAUAUAAAAUACAAUUUUGUUUACAUAGUUAUAAUUAUUUUCACAUUCACUACAUUUACAAUUUUUGAAGUAUUAUUGAAACCAUUUGAUUCUAGAUCGCUUAACAUACUAAACAAAUCUUUAUACAUUGGAAAUGUAAUAAGUAUAUUGUUUCCACUUGCAAUUUGGGGAGCUUUUUACUUAAAUUAUGAACAACUAGUUAUAUUUCCUAUUUUGAUUAUUCUGAUGUUUCAUGUUUAUAUGUUUCAUAACAUGUUUAGAGAAAUUAUUUAUUCAAAACAUUUUAACCAUUUAAAUAACGUAUUAGGUGUAGUGCAGGAUGACGUCUUUCUUAACGAUACUGAUAUGAGCGAUGAAAAUUAUAAAAACCAUUAUAGAGCUAUGGACAAGGUGCACCUUUUUUUUAAAUGAAGGUAAAGUACAAGAAAUCGAACAAAAUCAAAACAAUC
rnacentral:lncRNA from 1 species